AUUGAACGCUGGCGGCAGGCCUAACACAUGCAAGUCGAGCGGAUGAAGGGAGCUUGCUCCUGGAUUCAGCGGCGGACGGGUGAGUAAUGCCUAGGAAUCUGCCUGGUAGUGGGGGAUAACGUCCGGAAACGGGCGCUAAUACCGCAUACGUCCUGAGGGAGAAAGUGGGGGAUCUUCGGACCUCACGCUAUCAGAUGAGCCUAGGUCGGAUUAGCUAGUUGGUGGGGUAAAGGCCUACCAAGGCGACGAUCCGUAACUGGUCUGAGAGGAUGAUCAGUCACACUGGAACUGAGACACGGUCCAGACUCCUACGGGAGGCAGCAGUUGGGAAUAUUGGACAAUGGGCGAAAGCCUGAUCCAGCCAUGCCGCGUGUGUGAAGAAGGUCUUCGGAUUGUAAAGCACUUUAAGUUGGGAGGAAGGGCAGUAAGUUAAUACCUUGCUGUUUUGACGGUACCAACAGAAUAAGCACCGGCUAACUUCGUG
rnacentral:rRNA from 1 species